AAAUCUGCGAAAUAGAUUGAGAAAAAGUUUCGUUUAAUUAUUAUUGAUCAGAUAGCCAAAUGGAAUUUUCAUUGUUUCAACGUUUGCCAGACGCGUUUAUAUUUUUCGUGAUUGAAAAAUUCUCGUAGAAAUUGGAUUCGAGACAGAGGUUUUAAUCUAAAACUCGUAACUUUUCGAGGGAAAAUAUCGGUGGGGAAACGGUACAUUUCAAACGAAUGAACGAGUGUUGUAGGACGAGAACUAUUGGCCUAUUGUGAGGAAAUUGUUCGUUACGGACAGUACUUUUUUAGUUGUUUGGUACGAAACGAUGAUACCGGUGUGCACGGAUAGAAUUUCACCGAAACAAUUCCUGUGUAUGACGUGUAAAGGGAUUCUGGUAAAUGGCUAUUUUCAAAUCAAUCACAUGGCACCCGUUUCAUUCAGUUUGUGGGACGAACAAUGUUGUCUGGAUUUGUCUUCGACGGUUCGUGCGGUUUUUUGAUAUAUAUAUAUAUAUAUAUAUCGUAU